rnacentral:rRNA from 1 species
GAUGAACGCUAGCUACAGGCUUAACACAUGCAAGUCGAGGGGCAUCAGGAAGAAGGCUUGCUUUCUUUGCUGGCGACCGGCGCACGGGUGAGUAACACGUAUCCAACCUGCCCUUUACUCGGGGAUAGCCUUUCGAAAGAAAGAUUAAUACCCGAUAGCAUAAUGAUUCCGCAUGGUUUCAUUAUUAAAGGAUUCCGGUAAAGGAUGGGGAUGCGUUCCAUUAGGUUGUUGGUGAGGUAACGGCUCACCAAGCCUUCGAUGGAUAGGGGUUCUGAAAGGAAGGUCCCCCACAUUGGAACUGAGACACGGUCCAAACUCCUACGGGAGGCAGCAGUGAGGAAUAUUGGUCAAUGGGCGUUAGCCUGAACCAGCCAAGUAGCGUGAAGGAUGAAGGCUCUAUGGGUCGUAAACUUCUUUUAUAUAAGAAUAAAGUGCAGUAUGUAUACUGUUUUGUAUGUAUUAUAUGAAUAAGGAUCGGCUAACUCCGUGCCAGCCGCCGCCGUAACAC